rnacentral:rRNA from 1 species
ACAGUCACACAUUAGAUACCCCUGUAGUCCUAGCCGUAAACGAUAUUCGCUAGGUGUCGGCCACGGUGCGACCGUUGUCGGUGCCGUAGGGAAGCCGUGAAGCGAGCCACCUGGGAAGUACGGCCGCAAGGCUGAAACUUAAAGGAAUUGGCGGGGGAGCACAACAACGGGUGGAGCUUGCGGUUUAAUUGGAUUCAACGCCGGAAAUCUUACCGGGACCGACAGCAACAUGAAGGCCAAGCUGAAGACUUUGCCGGAUUAGCUG